CCUCCUCUGUGAAGUGAGGGCACUGGACCAGGGGCCCCUGGGGUCCCCCCCAGCACACAGGGGCGACGCUAUGCUAUGCCUCCCUGCCUCUCCAUGGCACCAAAGCAGAGAAGAGCAACAGGCAGGUGCUUUACGAGACUCCUAGGGACUCAGCUGUGACCCUCCAAGAUUCACAUGUUGAGGUCUUCAUCCUCCCACUGCGACUGGUGUCCCUGUGAGAAGACAGACACACGUGAGGACAGGCUACGUGAGGACAGGCCAUGUGAGGACACGGUAAGAAGGUGACCGACCAUCUGCGAGCCAAGGAGAGGAGCUGAGAUACUCAGCCCCACAGGCACCCUGAUCUUGAACUUCCAGCCUCCAGAAUGAUCCAUCUGAGCUCCUAAGAUCUUUU